GUUCGGGGUUGAGAUAGAUCACAAUAACGGUUAUAUCGUCGUGGAAAUGCCUUCUGACACCAGGAUGGAUCUCUUUUAGACAUGUAACCCGUUAGCUAUGGUCUAGGCAUUGAACUUACUUGGCGCGGAGAAUUAUGUACGAUAUCAACAGCUUCCUGGUUGCUAAGAUGCUCCCAAAGCCCAUCUGAACCAAGAAUCAUAAACUCGUCUUUUGAGGUUUUCACAUGUGUGAAUGUUUACCUGGAUGACGCCUUUCACACGCCACAUCCGAUGCUUCAUCACAAGAAUGUUG